UUAGCGGCGGACGGGUGAGUAACACGUGGAUAACCUACCUAUAAGACUGGGAUAACUUCGGGAAACCGGAGCUAAUACCGGAUAAUAUUUUGAACCGCAUGGUUCAAAAGUGAAAGACGGUCUUGCUGUCACUUAUAGAUGGAUCCGCGCUGCAUUAGCUAGUUGGUAAGGUAACGGCUUACCAAGGCAACGAUGCAUAGCCGACCUGAGAGGGUGAUCGGCCACACUGGAACUGAGACACGGUCCAGACUCCUACGGGAGGCAGCAGUAGGGAAUCUUCCGCAAUGGGCGAAAGCCUGACGGAGCAACGCCGCGUGAGUGAUGAAGGUCUUCGGAUCGUAAAACUCUGUUAUUAGGGAAGAACAUAUGUGUAAGUAACUGUGCACAUCUUGACGGUACCUAAUCAGAAAGCCACGGCUAACUACGUGCCAGCAGCCGCGGUAAUACGUAGGUGGCAAGCGUUAUCCGGAAUUAUUGGGCGUAAAGCGCGCGUAGGCGGUUUUUUAAGUCUGAUGUGAAAGCCCACGGCUCAACCGUGGAGGGUCAUUGGAAACUGGAAAACUUGAGUGCAGAAGAGGAAAGUGGAAUUCCAUGUGUAGCGGUGAAAUGCGCAGAGAUAUGGAGGAACACCAGUGGCGAAGGCGACUUUCUGGUCUGUAACUGACGCUGAUGUGCGAAAGCGUGGGGAUCAAACAGGAUUAGAUACCCUGGUAGUCCACGCCGUAAACGAUGAGUGCUAAGUGUUAGGGGGUUUCCGCCCCUUAGUGCUGCAGCUAACGCAUUAAGCACUCCGCCUGGGGAGUACGACCGCAAGGUUGAAACUCAAAGGAAUUGACGGGGACCCGCACAAGCGGUGGAGCAUGUGGUUUAAUUCGAAGCAACGCGAAGAACCUUACCAAAUCUUGACAUCCUUUGACAACUCUAGAGAUAGAGCCUUCCCCUUCGGGGGACAAAGUGACAGGUGGUGCAUGGUUGUCGUCAGCUCGUGUCGUGAGAUGUUGGGUUAAGUCCCGCAACGAGCGCAACCCUUAAGCUUAGUUGCCAUCAUUAAGUUGGGCACUCUAAGUUGACUGCCGGUGACAAACCGGAGGAAGGUGGGGAUGACGUCAAAUCAUCAUGCCCCUUAUGAUUUGGGCUACACACGUGC
rnacentral:rRNA from 1 species